rnacentral:rRNA from 1 species
AUCACCCGCGGUAAUUCCAGCUCCAAUAGCGUAUAUUAAAGUUGUUGCAGUUAAAAAGCUCGUAGUUGAAUUUCGGGGUCAGUAGGUUGGUCAUGCCACUGGUAUGUACUGAUCUUACUGAUUCCUCCUUCCUGAUGAACCGUAAUGCCAUUAAUUUGGUGUUGCGGGGAGACUGGACUGUUACUUUGAAAAAAUUAGAGUGUUUAAAGCAGGCUAACGCUUGAAUACAUUAGCAUGGAAUAAUGAAAUAGGACGUUCGAUCCUAUUUUGUUGGUUUCUAGGAUUGACGUAAUGAUUAAUAGGGAUAGUUGGGGGCAUUAGUAUUCAAUUGUCAGAGGUGAAAUUCUUGGAUUUAU